rnacentral:rRNA from 1 species
UACGAAGGGGGCUAGCGUUGUUCGGAUUUACUGGGCGUAAAGCGCACGUAGGCGGAUUGUUAAGUCAGGGGUGAAAUCCCGGAGCUCAACUCCGGAACUGCCUUUGAUACUGGCAAUCUUGAGACUGGAAGAGGUUAGUGGAAUUCCCAGUGUAGAGGUGAAAUUCGUAGAUAUUGGGAAGAACACCAGUGGCGAAGGCGAUACUGGCCGUACUGACGCUGAGGUAGCGAAAGCGUGGGGAGCAGAGAGUAUA